rnacentral:rRNA from 1 species
UACGUAGGGUGCGAGCGUUGUCCGGAAUUACUGGGCGUAAAGAGCUCGUAGGUGGUUUGUCGCGUUGUCCGUGAAAACUCACAGCUCAACUGUGGGCGUGCGGGCGAUACGGGCAGACUGGAGUACUGCAGGGGAGACUGGAAUUCCUGGUGUAGCGGUGGAAGUGCGCAGAUAUCAGGAGGAACACCGGUGGCGAAGGCGGGUCUCUGGGCAGUAACUGACGCUGGAGGAGCGAAAGCGUGGGGAGCGAACAGG